rnacentral:rRNA from 1 species
AGCUCCAUUGGCGUAUAUUAAUGUUGUUGCAGUUAAAAAGCUCGUAGUUGAAUUUUGAUUUCUGAUGUGUUGUUUUUAGUUAUUUUUAGUAAAGAUAGUUGUCAGGGAUUUAUUUUGUUUCAAAUGGCUUGAUGUUAUUUAUUUAAUGUUGAGAUUUUUAGACAUUUGGCAUCUUUUACUGUGAAAAAAUUAGAGUGUUCAAAGCAAGCUAUAUUAAUGCUUAUGAAUAGAUCAGCACGGAAUAAUAAGAUACGACUAUUUCAGUAUUUUGUUGGUUUAUGUGAUUUAGUAAUGAUGAAUAGGAACAGUUGGGGGUAUUUGUAUUUUAGAGUCAGAGGUGAAAUUCUUGGAUUUCUGAAAGACAAACUACUGCGAAAGCAUUUACCAAGGAUGUUUUCAU